rfam:Populus trichocarpa isolate Nisqually-1 chromosome 14, whole genome shotgun sequence.
GUGAGCCGUGUGAUGGGAAACCUUCCCGCACGGUUCGGAGAGCACUGAAUUAGAAUGAUGCCCGCCUUUUCCCUCCAGCUCCUCCCCCACAGACAUCGUCUCCUUCCUCAUCAACCGACUCUCC